CGUCUAUAUACGUAUAGCAUAUCAAUAAGCGGAGGAAAAGAAACUAACAAGGAUUCCCUUAGUAACGGCGAGUGAAGCGGGAAGAGCUCAAAUUUGAAAUCUUCAAGGUUCUACCUUGACGAAUUGUAGUUUAAAGAAGUGUUUUCUGUUAGAGGAGUGGCAAAAGUUCCUUGGAAUAGGGACAUCAUAGAGGGUGAGAAUCCCGUAUUUGGUUAUUCUUUCUAGCUUUGUGAUACACUUUCAAAGAGUCGGAUUGUUUGGGAAUGCAGUCCAAAAUGGGUGGUAAAUUUCAUCUAAAGCUAAAUAUUGGCGAGAGACCGAUAGCGAACAAGUACCGUGAGGGAAAGAUGAAAAGAACUUUGAAAAGAGAGUUAAACAGUACGUGAAAUUGUCAAAAGGGAAGCGUUUGACACCAGUGUUGUUUUUCCGAAAAUCAAUUAAGAGUGGCUUGAUUUUGUGUUGUAUUGACCUUAUCAGCUUUCUUCACUCUUUUUCGAGUCUUUCUUAAUGCACUUUUCGGUUAACAAGUCAACAUCAAUUUCUUUUGUUGUAAAAGGGUAUUUGGAAGGUGGCUUUCUUUUCGGAGAAAGUGUUUAUAGCCUUAUACCUCUACAAUCGGAGAGAUUGAGGUCUGCAGCGUAGAUCCUUCGGGGCUAGAUACACUUGUGCUAAGUUAUAGCUUUUCAUAGACAACUUGUUGACUAUGUUUAGUCAUGUAGCUUACCCGCUUGUGCUAUUUUACCUACGCUUAGGAUGUUGAGUCAUCACACAUCUCU
rnacentral:rRNA from 1 species